rnacentral:rRNA from 1 species
GAUGAACGCUAGCGGCAGGCUUAAUACAUGCAAGUCGAGGGACAGCACAGGUAGCAAUACUGGGUGGUAACCGGCAAACGGGUGCGGAACACGUACACAACCUUCCUUUAAGAGGGGGAUAGCCCAGAGAAAUUUGGAUUAAUACCCCGUAAUAUAGUUGAAUGGCAUCAUUUGAUUAUUAUAGCUACGGCGCUUAAUGAUGGGUGUGCGGCUGAUUAGAUAGUUGGCGGGGUAACGGCCCACCAAGUCUACGAUCAGUAGCUGAUGUGAGCGCGUGAUGAGCCACACGGGCACGGAGACACGGGCCCGACUCCUACGGGAGGCAGCAGUAAGGAAUAUUGGUCAAUGGACGCAAGUCUGAACCAGCCAUGCCGCGUGAAGGAUUAAGGUCCUCUGGAUUGUAAACUUCUUUUAUUUGGGACGAAAAAGGGCCUUUCUAGGUCAACUGACGGUACCAGAUGAAUAAGCACCGGCUAACUCCGUGCCAGCCGCCGCGGUAAAAC